rnacentral:tRNA from 1 species
AAGGAUUUAAGUUAAAUGUUAAUCAAACUAUUAACCUUCAAAGUUAAAAAUAAUAAAAACUUAAGCCUUG